rnacentral:rRNA from 1 species
UUGUUGCGGUUAAAAAGCUCGUAGUUGGAUUUCUGUUGAGAACAGGCGGUCCACCUUUUGGGUGAGUAUCUGCAUUGGUCUCGGCAUCUUCUUGAGAAACGUUCUUGCGCUUGAUUGCGUGAGGCGGUGCUCAGGACUUUUACUUUGAGGAAAUUAGAGUGUUCACGGCAGGCAUACGCCUUGAAUAUAUUAGCAUGGAAUAAUAAUAUAGGAUCUUGGUUCUAUUUUGUUGGUUUCUAGAACUAAGAUAAUGAUUAAUAGGGACAAUUGGGGGCAUUCGUAUUAACGCGUCAGAGGUGAAAUUCUUGGAUUGCGUUACGACGAACUACUGCGAAAGCAUUUGCCAAGGAUGUUUUCAUUGAUCAAGAACGAAAGUAAGGGGAUC